GCCUCAUUGGCGUAGUGGUAGCGCGUGUCACUUGUACCGCAUUGCAAAUUUCAAAUUGCAAUGCAAGCAAUGAUAAGGUCACUCGUUCAAUCCGGGUAUGAGGCA